AGAGUUUGAUGGUGGCUCAGGAUGAACGCUAGCGGCAGGCCUAAUACAUGCAAGUCGAGGGGUAACAGGGAAGCUUGCUUCCGCUGACGACCGGCGCACGGGUGCGUAACGCGUAUGCAACCUACCCACAACUGGGGAAUAGCCCGGAGAAAUCCGGAUUAAUACCCCAUAAUGCAGGGGUACCUCCUGGUACUAUUUGCUAAAGAUUUAUCGGUUGUGGAUGGGCAUGCGUCUGAUUAGUUUGUUGGUGAGGUAACGGCUCACCAAGACCACGAUCAGUAGGGGGUCUGAGAGGAUGAUCCCCCACACUGGCACUGAGAUACGGGCCAGACUCCUACGGGAGGCAGCAGUAGGGAAUAUUGGGCAAUGGGCGAAAGCCUGACCCAGCCAUGCCGCGUGAAGGAUGAAGGCCUUCUGGGUUGUAAACUUCUUUUAUAUAGGAAGAAAAAGGUCAUGCGUGACCAAUUGACGGUACUAUAUGAAUAAGCACCGGCUAACUCCGUGCCAGCAGCCGCGGUAAUACGGAGGGUGCAAGCGUUGUCCGGAUUUAUUGGGUUUAAAGGGUGCGUAGGCGGUCUGUUAAGUCAGUGGUGAAAUCCCGCAGCUCAACUGCGGAACUGCCAUUGAUACUGGCAGACUUGAGUACGGACGAGGUAGGCGGAAUUUAUGGUGUAGCGGUGAAAUGCAUAGAUACCAUANAGAACACCGAUAGCGAAGGCAGCUUACUAGACCGUAACUGACGCUCAGGCACGAAAGCGUGGGGAGCGAACAGGAUUAGAUACCCUG
rnacentral:rRNA from 1 species